UCUCUCUCUCUCACACACACACACACACACACACACACACACACACACACUGAGGAGGCUGAGGGAAAUGUCCUUGUGUCGUUUUGAGAAGAGCCUCUCUUGGCAGCAGGGUGCCAGGCUAUGGAGGCCUGAUUGAAACCAGGUCUGAUGCGUUAAGGACUCUUGAUUGGUCUCCUCCAGCAAGCUCUCAGGGGAGUUCCCACGUGGCUGCCAAGCUUCAGAGGCUCUCCUGGUCACUGCUGUGGCUGGCUGGGGCAAGAGCUGCACUGGGCGAUCCCCCUCUGGCUAGACCACAUCUCCGUGUGGCACGGGGCACCCAAAUCCAUGGACAAGGAAUAAGAGGCAUUGAAAUGAAUGAGCUGAAUGGAUCCAGAAAUGAGUGAAGGUCCAUCUCUCGUUCUCUCCCUCGUUCUCUCAUUCUCCUCUCUCUCUCUCUCUCUCUCUCUCUCUCUCCUCCAAACACACCCACACGCAUACGCAUGCAGAUAGAGUAGGAAACAAUAGCUAGGACGGGGAUUGACAAAUCCAUCCUACGUCUCUCGUGAGCCAAUAGCUUGGGUGGGAGUGGGUUGGAAGUGCCAGCCUGGGGAUGGCCAGCCUGGGAGUGGAUGCUUUUGCCGAGCAGAGUGGAUCUGCAUGCCGCACACGGGUGCAGGAGAACACCUGGGCAAGUCAAUCCACUCCAGACGAAGCAUGUCUUUAUCCUCAUCACUUCCUCCUCGCCAGGGAAUUCGGUUGGGUCCGAUGGGCUAGGCUCGGCAAUCUGGACGGGAUGCACGGAGUCCUUCGGCCCGUCUCUUUUCCCGAGGGGCAGCACUCCCGAGCGGGACACCUUCUGUGGGGAGCGCUGAGACGCUCCUGUGUUGGGGUGGAAUGGUCAGGACUCCUUUUGGCUGGUCGCUGAGCGAAGUGGAUCCAUUGCAGUUUCCCAACAAAGGGAUCCCAUCGGCCAUGGCUAUCCAUCCUGUUUGGCUCCCCUUCGCCUCCCUUGGGUUCCAAGAAGAGGGACUAGACCUCGUAGCAUCUGCUCCAUGGAAGGAGGGCUGUGGCACCCCCGUCCAGGGCAAGGGUUUGGAUCUCGGACCUCCCCAAUGCCAGGCAUUCCCACAGCCUCGCCCUCCCAUUUGGCAAGCACCAUCUGGAUGGCAGUCCAGGGCUUGCUUUCCUGGAAGACCGUUCCUGGGUGUCCCUGGUGAGAUGGGAGAGGGCAGGGGCUUCCCAUGGGCUGUGUGUCUCCCUCCCAGACCUCUUUCAUUUCGUGUGAGCAUUUCUCUCCGCAACACUGUGGCUGCCCAUGGCACCGUUUUCUGCGCAGGUUGAUGGCUGAGUCCGCUUGUGUUGGGGCGAAGGACAGCUGCUUGCUCAGCCAAGCAUCUGUCCAUGGACAUCGAACGUCUUUCCAUGUGUUGCUCUCGGGAAGAGGGCUGCCUGAACGGAGUGGGGCGUUUCGCGCUGAGAAGAGACCCUUUGUCUGGGUCUAUGGCCGUGAGGGGUAGCGCUGGGUCUGACGGUGGUUCCAGGGUUCUUUUGGGGAGGCCCUGGAUCCUGUGGUCCAUCGCGGUUGAACCAACGGACGUCCACGCCCACCCGGUGGGAGGGCCCCUUCUUUUGCACAGCCUGCCCAGGGGUUGUCAUGGAAAGGCGUCCUCAGGAUGGCCAUGGGGACAGGGCUGAGGAGGACUGUCGAGCUGGUUGGGGUUUGGACUUCUCUAGGCAUGCGUGAUGGUGUUCCUUUGUCUGGUGCUGGCUGCCGGCUGGCUAUGUGGAUUUGGCAGUGUUUCUUCAGGCCCCCUCCCCACCUGUGGCCUGGGCGGGUGGGUUUCUGUUCUCGUGCCUGGGUUCCGUGCUGGAGCUGAUCCGUGUGGAAGCCCAGGGUGACCUGGGUUUUGGGAUGCGCAUCCAGGGGCUGUGAGGCUUCCCCGGGUGGUGCCCAAAGGGAGAGCGAAUUGGGAGAGCAGCGGUGCCAGGCGCUGGGCCUUGUCUCUCAAGAGGGCUCAGGAACCUCCCUUUGUCUUUCCCAGGGAGGCUCGGCUCUUCUUUCUACGCACCUGGUGAGAUGAUGGGAGCUCGAGCCAGGCCGGGCCUAUGCAGGCCGCUCUCUUGACGGAUCCACCAAAGCUCUGCCUGAGCUUCCUUCCGGCUCCCUGGGGAGAAGGGCUGAUUGGGUCGGUUUGGUGUGGUUGGGAGACUCUGUGCCUUGGGAAGCACCAAUGGGGAUCCAGAGCAGGCACACUCCAGGUGGGGUCAAGAACGUUUGGAAACAAAGGGAGAAAGCGAGACCUGGCCAGAUGAACCAAGCCAGAAGGAAAGAAUCGAGGCAAGACCUCAUGGCAAGGAGUGUGGAAUCCCAGGGGCAUGAUGAAGGGGGAAAACGACUCGUUCCAUCCUUCCACACCUGUCUUCCUAACUCCAUAUGGGCCAGGCUCUAUCCACCCGGUAGCAGGCUGGCACACCCUGAUGGAUUGGGAGCUCAGGAUUUCCACGGCGAGGCAUGGCCUAGGUGGGCAUCGGCACGAAGAACGCCUUUGAGAGAGGGAGCUAGAGCCCAGGUGGAAGGGCCCUUCUUGGCGGGGGAUGGAGCCCCCAGCCUCGUCUGGGCCCCAGCCCAAGCAGCCCCGGGGACUGCUGAGCCCGAGAGAGAAGGCCAGCCUGAGAGGGGCUGUUCGAGCCUAUGUCCACACGAGGGCGCCAGGGCCCCUCCCGGCCCCAGGUGCAGCUCUGAGGCUCGAAGAGGUGGGAGUGGCAAGGCUCCAAAGGCGCAGGCUCCAGGUCGGGGGCGGGGGCGGAUGGAGGCUUGAGCGGGACGCACCCACAGCAGGCACUCCGAGGAUGUGCAGGGGUUUCCUGGGCACCAGGGACUGUCUCCUCCGAGACCCCUCCUGUCAGGCGCAGGGCGGAGGUGUGCCUUCCGGAUUUGGAGGUGGGUUGGCCGCCUGGUUGGGUGGCAGUGGGUUUGGAAGGCUUGAAACAGGUCCUGGGCUUUGGCGUGCUUGGGGUUCCUUCGAGGCAGGUGCCCAGUCACACACAGCCUCAGGAUUGGGCCGCCAGCUGGCCCUGGUCAAGCCCUCCGCAUCAGGGCUUCAGGGAUCUCUACAUCCUCCUCUUUCCCACUCCACCUGAGCCACCUACGCCUCUUCGGGGGACCCUUGUGCCAAGAAACCUACUUUGUGCCAGAUCAAGUGAAUGAAGCCUGGGAUUCUGGAUCUCAAGAUCUCCUCAAACUUCUUCCCUCACACCCAAGUCUCUUCCCCCCCUAGGAGUCUCCUGGUGCAUGGAACUGACCAGAAACUGGGUAAUGUAUAUAAAUCUGGGUCAUCCCUGGCUUCACGCUGGAUCCAAGGCCUGAAGGGUGCUGGUCAAUGUGGAGCCUGCUCUCAUGACUUACAAAAUGGAGUGGAUUUCAGGGUGUGGGGUGGUGGUGUGUUGGGUGAGGGUCUUGGCUGACUGUGACAGUGCACCUGACAGGGAGUGGAGGAAGAAUAUCAUGCUGGCAAUUGCCCCAGGCCAGGGCACACAGAGACAUUUGCUGCGGGACACAGAGGAAGGUCUGAGAGUUGCUUUUAUAGGACAUGUCGUCCAGAGGGUGACAGAGCACCAGCAGAGCCUGCUGCAUCUCUCUGCAUCUCCAGGCUCAGAAGGGGAUUGGAAAGGGACCCAUGGAAUCCCAAGGAGGUGCCCAGAGCCUGGGGUUUGUUUUCAUGGUGCUCUGAUACUGCAGCCCAAUGGGACUCCAUUCAGUGAGAGGAUGGAAUUUUGCCCUCAGGUAUCUAAUUCAAUUCCUGCCAGUCAGGCAGCCAGAGUAUUAGUGAAUUUGACUGGCUCUCCGGGGUCUUAAGGGUCCUUUUCUUGUUUGGAGGCUGGACCCAGAGAAACAUGGCUUCAAUCCUGGACAUGCAGCUUUCAAAUCAGCGUGGCAGGGUGUUUCAAGUCUAGAAACCUGAGUUUCAGGGUGUUAAGGUUGUAUGUCUACACUUUCAGGGUGUGAUCUGUGCUUAUGGUUUGAUUCUUUCUCUCCAGAGUUCCCCCAAAGCCUCUGUCUUCCUUCUGUAGCUGAGCUGCUUCAGCCUCUGUGGGACACCCAUUUGAAGGAACCUGUCUAAAUCCAUGUAAGGUGAGUCAUGGCUGGGUUGUUUAGGAGUCCAAGCUGAGUGCCAGGAAGGAAGGCUGCUGAUGAAAGGCUUACUGUCCUAACUUAAAUAGGAGGGUUGCUUCUUUCAGGAAGUUGGAUAAAGUUGGGUGUGGUGACUGGCCUGGCUGACUGAGAUUGUCACUCCAUCAUAUGUAGUGCAUCUGAGGGGGUCUAGAGAUAUGUGGGCAUGAAAAUCCCAUUAGCAAGAGCCCCAGGCCAGGGCAGAGCAGGGUUCUUCUGUGGGAUGGAGAGGAAGAGCUGGGAUGUGCUGUGAAUGCCCCAGCCCACCAGAUGGCACUCGAGCACUAGCAGAGCCCCUUCUGCAUCUCCAGGAGUGUACUUUCAAACUCAAAUAUAUGGUUGGAGAUGGGUUAGUGGAAUCCACAGAAGGGCCCAGAUCUGGAGCUGGGUUUCCGGGCAUCUUCAAGUCUCUGGACAAUGGGCCUCAUCUCAGGAGAUUGGCCUUAGUUCUGCCAUCUCAUCUCCAGUUCAAUUCCUACAUGGUCUGGUGCCCCAAUGGCUAGGACAUAUGACAAGCUGUCUGGGGUCUGAGUCCCCUGCUUGGUUGCAUGCACAAAUCUGGACCCAGAAUAACCUGGCUAGAAUUACAGCUGUACAGUGUGCUGGAACCUGGCUGGCACACAUGGAGUUGGGCUUCUAGAAAGAUGGCAUUCUGGUCAUGAAUAUACUUUGUCAUCCUGAUGCUUUUGGGGAGGCAGGCUGUGCUCACGCCUGUGCUCUUUCUCUCUAGAGAUCUCCUAUUUUUUCCCUCCCACCUGAGACUCUUCCUCCUCUGCCAGACACCUGUUCCAAGGAAGCUCCUGCAACAAGGGUGUGGGCUUGUGUCAUGAAGGUUGAGUAUCCAGGGUGACAGUGAAGAAUCCUACUCCCACCGCAAGAGUGGAUUUAAGUGUUCCUGAGAGGAAGAGGAGUAAGACAUCUUGUUGGCCUGUGCCCCAGGUCAGUGCAGACCAGAGUUUUGCUGUGGGAGGCAGAGGAAGGGCUGAGAGUCGCUGUUAGAGCACAUGUCCACCAGAGGGCACCAGAGCCCCUCAUCGCCUCUCUGCAGCUCCCUGUUUGUAUCUCCAGGCUCAGAAGGGGAUGGAAGAGGGAUGCAUGGAACCUCAAGGAGGGACCCAGAGCCCGGUGUUUGUUUGCAUGGUGCCUCUGACAUUGUGGCCCCAUUUGCCUCAAUGCAGGGAGGGGACACAUUUCUGCCAUUAAAUAUCUAAUCAAUUCCUAUUUGGUUGGGUGGCCCCAACUUUAGGGAGUUUGAUAGGCUCUCUGGUCUGUGUGUCCUUUGCUUGUUUGCAAGCAGAACUCUGGACCCAGAAACACCUGGCUUCAAUGGUGGAUGUUCAGUUUUCUAGAAUCAGCCUGGUGGGGAGUUUGUCUUCUGAAAAGGUGGACUUCGGUGAUGAAUGGGGUGUGUCUGUGCUGUUGUAUUUUGGGGGUGGGUGGGCUAUGCUCUUUUUCUCCAAAGAUGCCCACCACCUUCAUAUUUCCACUGUCCCUGAGCCACUUCCACCUCUGCAUGACACCCAUUUGAAGGAAGCUCUCUCCAUCCACGUAAGGUGAAUCACGGCUGGGUUGUUUAGUGUUCCAAGGUGAGUCCUGGAUAGGUAGGCUGCUCAUUCAAAGCCCACUGGCCUGACUUAAAUAGGAGGGGUGCUGAUUUUAGGGAGUGGAUAAAUGUGGGUGGGGUGAGGGGCCUGGCUGACAAUGCGACAGUCUCUCCCCACCCAUCAUGCAUUUGAGUGUGCUGAGAGGGAAAGCAGUAAGAAAGUCACCUGACAGCUUCCCCAGGCCUGGGCAGAGCAGGGUUCGUCUGUGGGAGGCAGAUGAAGGGCUGAGACUUGCUGUUAGGGCCUCUGUCCACCAGCCUGAGCUGGAGCAAUAGCAGAGCUUCCCCAACCCCCACCUACUCUCACCACAAUGGCCAUGUCACCAGUCUCAGACUCAGAGUGCAAAUGGUUGGUGGAGGCCCAAGUGCAUACGCAGACAUUUGUACUUGGGUACUUGGUGCCUCCUAUGCUGCAACCCAAUGUACCUCAGCUCAGAGGAGGAUUAAGUUUCAGCCACCAUAUUUCAGGUUCAAUCUAUGCAUGAUCAGGUGGCCCAAUGGUGGGAGAGUUUGACAGGCUGCCUUGGGUCUGAGUGCCCUUUGCUAGUUUGAAGCAUAUCACUGGACCCAGAAACCCCUGCCUUAAAUCUUGGGCAUGCAGAGUUGUUAAUCAGCCUGGCAUGAUAUUUGGCUUCUGGAAAGCUGGGCUUUUGUCAGGAAUGCAGCACAUUAAUGUGGUGGUGCUGUGGGGGAAGGUCUCAGCUUCUCCCUGUGCCUUUCUCUCUAGAGAGCUCCACCUCCUUCUUCCUCCUGUUCCACCUGAGCCUCCUCCUCCUCUGUGGGAGACCCUGUCAAGGAACCUACCUCAAUUCAGGGAAUGUGAAUGAUGCCUGGGAAGUCCUGAUCUCAAGCCAGGUGCAGGGCUUCAGGGUGCUGAUGGAGGCCACCUGGUUCCCUUAACUUACUAAGGUGACUGAUUUCAGGGAGUUGGGUGGUCUCAGUUGGGGUGAGGGCCCUGGCUGACUCUGAGAUAGUCCCCCCCAUCAUGCCUUUCAGUGCACUGUGAGGGAGAGGACUUAGGAAAUCAGGCUGGCAAGGGGCCCAGGCUUCUGUGGGAGGCAGAGGGAGGCUUGAGAUUGUUAGAGUGAUGGCCACCAGAUGCACCAUAGAACCAGAGUGCCCACCCCCUUCAUCACCUGGACUUCACCUUCAGGCCCCCAGGCAAGAUUGGUGAUGGGCCCUUGGUCCAGUGGCCCAAUGGCUAGAGAGUUUGACAGGCUAACUCGGGUCUGAGUCCUCUUGGAGGUUUGGAGGCACAACUCUGGACCCAGAAAUACCUGGCUUGGAUUUUGGCCCUACAACUUGCUAGAAUCAGGCUGGUCCCUGUGGAAUUGUACUUCCAGAAAGGUGGCCUUCUGGUUGUGAAGGCGCCAUGUCAGUACAGUGGUUUUGGGUGCAGACUGUGCUCAUACCUGUGCUCUUUCUCUCCAGAGAUCUCCUCAAGCUUUUCCUUCCCUCCCAACUGAUCCUCUCCCUCCUCAGCCAGACACCUGCUGCAGGGAGGUUACCUAAAACCAGGUAACUUUUACAAAGGCUGGAUGGUCCUUGGUUUCAUGCUGGGUCCCAGGGUUGAAGGGUGCUGACUGAUCAGGGGCUGCUCACAUGACUUACAAAUGGUGUCAAUGAUUUCAGGGUGUGGGGUGAGUUCUGGCUCUGAGAUUGUCAUACCCCAGCCCAUAGUGUACAUCUGUGCACUGAAAGGGAGAAGAGGAAGGAAAUCACACUGGCAGUGCCCCCAGACACUGCAGAGCAGACUUCUGCCGUUGGAGGCUGUCAGGGUUCAGAGUUGCUGUUAGAGCAGCACAUUCUAGUCAAAGGGCUCUAGAGAACCCCGGAGACCCUCCUCUCCUUCAGGCUGAAAUACGUGGUUGCCGAUUGUAUGACGAGACCCCACAGAAAUGCUUGGGGCUGGAAUGGGGUUACAGGGCGCCUCUUAUCAUCUGGCCAAUUUCUUUCACCUCAGGAUAUUGGCAUAAUUCUGCUCUCCCAUCUUUGGUUCAAAUUCAGUGUGUUUCUCUGAUAAAUGACCAGAAACUUGACAGACUCUCUGAGGGGACAAGCAAAUACCUGGCUUGAAUCUCAAAUGUUCAGGUUUCUGAAACCAGGCUGAUAUGACACUCUCUCCUCUUGUGUGUUCAGUUUGCUGAGGAAGAGGAAGAGGACAGUCACAUCAGUCUGUGCCCAAGACCAGUGCUUAAAACAUCAAUGUCCAAUCUUUAACACUGUUGUUUCUGGACCCAAAGGUCUGCCUCUGGAGAAACAGGGCCAGCUGAUCCAGGGAGCCUGUCACACUCUGGCCCUGGGGCACCAAUUUUUUGUCAUGCCCACCAGAUGCUGAGGGCACAGUUGUGUCCCUUCCCUGAGGUGAGUCCAUUUGGCCAGAGCCGUAGAAGCUCCCUGUUUCCAGCCCCAAACCUAUGAGCAUGUUCUGAGUGUCCCACAGUCCUUCAACUGCAGCUCUGAGCCUGGAGUCUCAGCCAGGCAUCUGCACAGGGGCUCUGCCUGAGCUGGGGUUCAGCCUGGUGACCUUCAGUCUAACACCAUCUCUCAGCCCUUCCACAUGUUUCUCAUCCACCCUAGAAGCUACCUGGGCCUUGGGCCUGGGCAGCUUGAUUUCACGCUGGCCUUGGGCCUGGGUUGCUGGAUUUCAUUUCUCCUCAGCUGUUGAGCCACACGAGUAUCUAGAUACUGGGGUAUUUCCCUCUCACAGCCUCCCUGAGUGCUCACCCCAACUUACCCCACC